GUUGGAAAGAGAACAACGAUGGUGACGUUUUGAGGGUAAAAUGAUGGCUGUAACACUGUGGACACAGCAGCAGUUGAAAGAGAAGUGCUUAAGAUGAAUCUUGGCAGAGUGAGAGAGAGAGCUCGUUAAGCAGGCAGGUGUGAGCCUGGUUGCUAUAGUGACCGCACCCAAUGGCUCCAUACACACGGACACAGACAUGCGCCUCACUUUUGCUGCUUAAAAUGAACAGAAAAGUCAGGCCCAAACAAAUCGUUCCCAAAUGAAAAGUAUAGGUCGUAUUGACAAAAUUCUUUCACCGUGAGUGACAGCAAUGUCUAGUCUACUGAAUUCUCAGUUUUCAUGCCUGUGGAGUUUAUUAUAUGGACGUGGUGACAGUGGAAAGACACCAUGCUCUUCUGAUUUUCAAACGAACCUUCUGAGCCAUUUUAACAUUAGAGUCUAUGGAAGAGUUGGAGGGAGGAGGCUGUGCAUUGGUGACAUUUACGAAAGAACCAUAACACCUAGGACAAUAGUAAACACAUUGGAUGAAAGAGGACAGCGAUGGCUACGUUUUGAG
ensembl:lncRNA